GAGUGCAGUGGCCCAGUCUCGGCUUACUGCAGCCUCCGCUUCCUGGGCUCAAGUGAUCCUCCUGCCUCAGCCUCCUGAGUAGCUGGGAUUAUAGGUAUGCACCACUAUGCUCAGCUAAUUUUUGUAUUUUUUGUAGAGACAAGGUUUUGCCAUGUUGCCCAGUCUGGUCUCAAACUCCUGAGCUCAGGCCGUCUGCCCAGCUUGCCCUCCCAAAGUGCUGGGAUUACAGGUGUGAGCCACCGCACCCGGCCCAUAAUGUUUUCCAGGUUCACGCCAUUCUCCUGCCUCAGCCUCCCGAGUAGCUGGGACUACAGGCACCCGCCACCACGCCCGGCUAAUUUUUUGUAUUUUUAGUAGAGAUGGGGUUUCACCGUGUUAGCCAGGAUGGUCUUGAUCUCCUGACCUCGUGAUCCACCCGCCUCGGUCUCCCAAAGUGCUGGGAUUACAGGCGUGAGCCACCACGCCCGGCCUAAUAUACUACACAUUGUUUAUCCAUUCCACCACUUAAAAGGAUUCUUACAACAAAUU
ensembl:lncRNA novel transcript, sense intronic to SPTAN1